CUCAUAUAUACUUAAUACCUACACCUCGGGGGCCUCCCCAUGAUGCCAAGUUCACAUGCAUCAUUUUUUUUUUCACUGUAGGGCAGUGGAAGGGCUAAUUGGUCUGGAUGAAGAGACAAUGAGAAAUGAAGGCUCUGCAGCAGGCUCAUUGCUCAUUCACUGGCCUCUGUAGCUACUGGGGUCCUUGUAUCUGAUGCCAGAGCCUUACGAGAGGAAGGGAGUGGAAGGCCAGGGAAGAAGAAGCCAGAGGCUUGGGCCAGGAACUGUCCAGCCAGGAAAGUGCUGAAUCAGCCCUCACCUCUGAACUUGGAGGGUCCAUGGAAGCUGCUGCCAGGACCUAACCUCUGGAAAUACACCUUUCCAAGCUGUGCAGGAGACUCCGUGCUGUUUCACAGGACGUGGCUUGGGGACAAGGAGAUGCAGUUCCCUGAUGCAGCGGCUCAGCACUGCACAGGCGCCCCCUCAUGCAGCCUGUUCUCAGCAGGGCCCACUGAGAAGACGACAAAAAAUGAGAACUCCAGCAUCCUGAUUCCCCACUCCAGGGCCCGCCGCCUUGGCCUCAGAGCCAGCACCAGACGCCCUUCAGAGACCGCAAACCUCCAGGAAAAAUUAAAUCCUCACAAAACACCCUUUAAUUUUAUCCACUUGCCUUAAUGAAGGUUCUGGUAUUAAUGAACUCAGAGGCUUUUUGUCUGACAGUUCUGCUG
rnacentral:lncRNA from 1 species